CGCGUAGGUGGUUUGUUAAGCGAGAUGUGAAAGCCCCGGGCUUAACCUGGGAACGGCAUUUCGAACUGGCAGACUAGAGUGUGGUAGAGGGUAGUGGAAUUUCCUGUGUAGCGGUGAAAUGCGUAGAUAUAGGAAGGAACACCAGUGGCGAAGGCGGCUACCUGGACCAACACUGACACUGAGGUGCGAAAGCGGUGGGGAGCAAACA
rnacentral:rRNA from 1 species